rnacentral:lncRNA from 1 species
GAAAAAAAAGUAUAAAGUCGAGUGUAUAUUGAGAUAUUUGUUUGAAAAUCGACUUUGUGUGUUGGAAAUAAAUGGAGAGCAUAAAAGAGUGUUUAGUUCUGUUUUGUGAUGAUUAAAUCCCUUGAGUUGUGUUGAUUAUGGUGAUAUAGUUGGGUGGAAGAUGGAAUUUAUUCCAUACUUGCUUUGUGAAGUUAUAAGGUUGGUGUUCUUAAUUUAUUUGAGUCACUUAGCCUAUAUUUCCCUACCUUAACCAAUGUCCCUACAUUAUAACCCAAAGAAAAAGACCUUUUUGAUCUUAGUCCUGGCACACUUUUAGCGAUGGAGAUUGUAGACGAUUGGCAAGC